rnacentral:rRNA from 1 species
UACGUAGGGUGCGAGCGUUAUUCGGAAUUACUGGGCGUAAAGCGUGCGCAGGCGGUUCGUUAAGUCAGAUGUGAAAGCCCCGGGCUCAACCUGGGAACUGCAUUUGAAACUGGCGGGCUUGAGUAUGGCAGAGGGGGGUGGAAUUCCGCGUGUAGCAGUGAAAUGCGUAGGGAUGCGGAGGAACACCGGUGGCGAAGGCAGCCCGCUGGGCCAAUACUGACGCUCAGGCACGAAAGCGUGGGGAGCAAACGGG